GGUUGGUGAGGUCGAUGAGCAUGCGAGCGAGAGGGUCGGCCCUCGGCGACUGCUCAGAAAAAGAGCCUGCCCUAGGGAAGGGGAAACCCCGGGAAAAGGGGAAAUACCCUAUAGAUUACAGAUGCUGGAAUGCCCUGUAAUCCAAAGUUCCGACGCCCUAGGAUGGAUCUGCGGCCGAUUAGGUUGUUGUUGGGGUAAUGGCCCAACAAGCCCGUAAUCGGUAGGGGUUGUGGGAGCAAGAGCCCGGAGUUGGAUUCUGAGACACGAAUCCAGGCCCUGCCGGGCGCAGCAGGCGCGAAAACUUUUCAAUGCGGGCAACCGUGAUAAGGGGAACCUCGAGUGCCUGUAAAUGCAGGCUUGUUUCAGGGUGCCUUAAAACACACCCUGAAGGAAAGGGCCCCGGGCAAAAAA
rnacentral:rRNA from 1 species